AACGAACGCUGGCGGCAUGCCUAACACAUGCAAGUCGAACGAGACCUUCGGGUCUAUUGGCGCACGGUUUCGUAACGCGUGGGAACCUGCCCUUAUGUUCGGCCUAACUCCCCGACAGGGGUGCUAAUACCGGAUAAUGUCUUCGGCCCAAAGAUUUAUCGCCUUUGGAUGGGCCCGCGUUGGAUUAGCUAGUUGUUAGGGUAAAAGCAUACCAAGGCGACGAUCCAUAGCUGGUCUGAGAGGAUGAUCAGCCACACUGGGACUGAGACACGGCCCAGACUCCUACGGGAGGCAGCAGAGGGGAAUAUUGGACAGUGGGCGAAAGCAUGAUCCAGCAAUGACGCGUGAGUGAUGAAGGCCUUAGGGUUGUAAAGCGCUAUUAACCGGGAUGAUAAUGACAGUACCGGGAGAAUAAGCUCCGGCUAACUCCGUG
rnacentral:rRNA from 1 species